GUUGUGGUUCAGUGGCAGAGUAUCUACUUGGCUUGCAGAAGGUUUCAGGUUCAAUGCUUGGCAUCACCA
rnacentral:tRNA from 1 species